rnacentral:rRNA from 1 species
UAGGGAAUCUUCCACAAUGGACGAAAGUCUGAUGGAGCAACGCCGCGUGAGUGAUGAAGGGUUCGGCUCGUAAACUCUGUUGUUGGAGAAGAACGGGUGUCAGAGUAACUGUUGACAUCGUGACGGUAUCCAACCAGAAAGCCACGGCUAACUACGUGCCAGCAGCCGCGGUAAUACGUAGGUGGCAAGCGUUGUCCGGAUUUAUUGGGCGUAAAGCGAGCGCAGGCGGUUUUU